AGAGUUUGAUCCUGGCUCAGAUUGAACGCUGGCGGCGUGCCUAACACAUGCAAGUCGAGCGGUAACAGGUGUAGCAAUACAUGCUGACGAGCGGCGGACGGGUGAGUAACGCUUGGGAAUCUGCCUGUUAGUGGGGGACAACCCGGGGAAACUCGGGCUAAUACCGCAUACGCACUACGGUGGAAAGCCGGGGACCGCAAGGCCUGGCGCUAACAGAUGAGCCCAAGUCGGAUUAGCUAGUUGGUAGGGUAACGGCCUACCAAGGCGACGAUCCGUAACUGGUCUGAGAGGACGACCAGUCACACCGGAACUGAGACACGGUCCGGACUCCUACGGGAGGCAGCAGUGGGGAAUAUUGGACAAUGGGUGAAAGCCUGAUCCAGCGACGCCGCGUGGGUGAAGAAGGCCUGCGGGUUGUAAAGCCCUUUCGGUGGGGAAGAAAAGCCUCGAGCUAAUACUUCGGGGCCUUGACGUAACCCAUAGAAGAAGCACCGGCUAACUCUGUGCCAGCAGCGGCGGUAAUAC
rnacentral:rRNA from 1 species